CAGAAAUGGAUAUAUAUAUUUGUUUCUCUCGCCAUUCUGGUUCUGGUUCCCUUGAUCUAUCUCUUGUUAAAGAAAGUUGCUUCUUGUCAGAGAUCUUCAAGAGAACAAGCUCCAGCUGAAAACAUAAGAAACUGUGUCUACGAUGAAACUCAAUAUGCAGGCAUUAUGGGGCUUGGCGAACCUAUGUUGCUGCAGCCCAAGAAUACAGAAAGAACAGUAUAUGCAAACCUGGUUCCACAAAACAGGUGUUCUUCCCUCCACCUUGCACCUUCCUCAGAGACAUCAUGUGCAGAUAAGGAAUUCUCAGAGCUAAUGGCACUUCAUGGAGAUGGAUAAAGGAGAAUAAAUAUGGAAGGAUGAACUCAGAAAGGUGCCGAAGAAUACUUCCAUCCCAUUCUCUGUUUUAUUGCUUUAUUUUGACAUGCUCCUCAGUAUUCCAGCAUCCAGUGUACAGAUUUCUGUCCUUUUUAUACUCUUCUGGUCUGUUUCACCAUGCAGUCCUCCCAAGACUCCUGUUAUUUAGCCUAUUUUCACUGUUAUGCUUCUUUUGGUAGAUUAGUUGUAUAAUAUCCAUCCUCACAGAAGAUAAUUUGAGUGAGCAUCUGAAGAGCCUUAGUGUCAUUCACGACUGAUUUGGUCUGACUGCCAUUUCUGAUGUUAGCAUAGCUUUCAAGUGUCUAUACAUAGGGAUCGUCUUACGUCAGUCACAAACAGCACAAUGAGUGAGGGCCACUGUUUUGUUAAUAUUCAUCCGUAGUCAAAUUCAAUAAAUAUGUUGGCCCUGAC